UCCUGCCGGACCUGACUGCUAUCGGAUUGAUACUAAGCCAUGCGAGUCUUUGUAGUAAUACAAGGCAUACGGCUCAGUAACGCGUAGUCAACCUACCCUAUGGACAAGAAUAAUCUCGGGAAACUGAGCAUAAUUCUUGAUAGAUCAUAAUGCCUGGAAUGGUUUAUGGUUAAAAUGAUUCGUCGCCAUAGGAUGGGACUGCGGCCUAUCAGCUUGUUGGUGAGGUAAUGGCCCACCAAGGCGAUUACAGGUACGGGCUCUGAGAGGAGAAGCCCGGAGAUGGGUACUGAGACAAGGACCCAGGCCCUAUGGGGCGCAGCAGGCGAGAAAACUUUGCAAUGUGCGAAAGCACGACAAGGUUAGUCCGAGUGAUUUCUGCUAAAGAGAUCUUUUGCUAGUUAUAAAACCACUAGUGAAUAAGGGGUGGGCAAGUUCUGGUGUCAGCCGCCGCGGUAAAACCAGCACCUCAAGUGGUCAGGAGGAUUAUUGGGCCUAAAGCAUCCGUAGCCGGCUCUGUAAGUUUUCGGUUAAAUCCAUGUGCUCAACGCAUGGGCUGCCGAAAAUACUGCAUAGCUAGGGAGUGGGAGAGGUAGACGGUACUCAGUAGGAAGGGGUAAAAUCCUUUGAUCUAUUGAUGACCACCUGUGGCGAAGGCGGUCUACCAGAACACGUUCGACGGUGAGGGAUGAAAGCUGGGGGAGCAAACCGGAUUAGAUACCCGGGUAGUCCCAGCUGUAAACGAUGCAGACUCGAUGAUGCAUUGGCAUAUAGCCAGUGCAGUGUCGCAGGGAAGCCGUUAAGUCUGCCGCCUGGGAAGUACGUACGCAAGUAUGAAACUUAAAGGAAUUGGCGGGGGAGCA
rnacentral:rRNA from 2 species